rnacentral:rRNA from 1 species
CCUACGGGAGGCAGCAGUGGGGAAUUUUGGACAAUGGGCGCAAGCCUGAUCCAGCCAUGCCGCGUGCGGGAAGAAGGCCUUCGGGUUGUAAACCGCUUUUGUCAGGGAAGAAAAGGUUCUGGCUAAUACCUGGGACUCAUGACGGUACCUGAAGAAUAAGCACCGGCUAACUACGUGCCAGCAGCCGCGGUAAUACGUAGGGUGCAAGCGUUAAUCGGAAUUACUGGGCGUAAAGCGUGCGCAGGCGGUUAUGCAAGACAGAGGUGAAAUCCCCGGGCUCAACCUGGGAACUGCCUUUGUGACUGCAUAGCUAGAGUACGGUAGAGGGGGAUGGAAUUCCGCGUGUAGCAGUGAAAUGCGUAGAUAUGCGGAGGAACACCGAUGGCGAAGGCAAUCCCCUGGACCUGUACUGACGCUCAUGCACGAAGGCGUGGGGAGCAAACAGGAUUAGAUACCCUGGUAGUCCACGCCCUAAACGAUGUCAACUGGUUGUUGGGAGGGUUUCUUCUCAGUAACGUAGCUAACGCGUGAAGUUGACCGCCUGGGGAGGACGGCGCGAGUAGAAGUAAUAGAUGNGCGNGAGAGNGCGAGACGACGACGAGGGAGGAGG